AUUGAACGCUGGCGGCAUGCCUUACACAUGCAAGUCGAACGGUAACACGCUGCCAGGUGCUGACUAGUGGCGAAGAGGGGAGGAAGGCAACGGAACGUGCCCAGAUGUGGGGGCUAACUACUCGCAAGGGAAGCUAAUACCGCAUACGAUCUAAUACUGCAUGCGGGGGACUGCAGGGCCUCGCGCGAUUGGAGGGGGCGAUGUCAGCUUAGGUAGUUGGGGGGGGAAAGGCUCACCAAGUCCACGAUCUGUCGCUGGUCUGAGAGGACGACCAGCCACACUGGAACUGAGACACGGCCCAGACUCCUACGGGAGGCAGCAGUGGGGAAUUUUGGACAAUGGGCGCAAGCCUGAUCCAGCAAUGCCGCGUGGAGGAAGAAGGCCUUCGGGUUGUAAACUGCUUUUGUACGGAACGAAAAGGCUCUGGUUAAUACCCGGGGCUAAUGACGGUACCGAAAGAAUAAGCACCGGCUAACUACGUG
rnacentral:rRNA from 1 species